rnacentral:rRNA from 1 species
CGGGACACGUGGUAUCCUGUCUGAAUAUGGGGGGACCAUCCUCCAAGGCUAAAUACUCCUGACUGACCGAUAGUGAACCAGUACCGUGAGGGAAAGGCGAAAAGAACCCCGGCGAGGGGAGUGAAAAAGAACCUGAAACCGUGUACGUACAAGCAGUGGGAGCACGCUUAGGCGUGUGACUGCGUACCUUUUGUAUAAUGGGUCAGCGACUUAUAUUCUGUAGCAAGGUUAACCGAAUAGGGGAGCCGAAGGGAAACCGAGUCUUAACUGGGCGUUAAGUUGCAGGGUAUAGACCCGAAACCCGGUGAUCUAGCCAUGGGCAGGUUGAAGGUUGGGUAACACUAACUGGAGGACCGAACCGACUAAUGUUGAAAAAUUAGCGGAUGACUUGUGGCUGGGGGUGAAAGGCCAAUCAAACCGGGAGAUAGCUGGUUCUCCCCGAAAGCUAUUUAGGUAGCGCCUCGUGAAUUCAUCUCCGGGGGUAGAGCACUGUUUCGGCAAGGGGGUCAUCCCGACUUACCAACCCGAUGCAAACUGCGAAUACCGGAGAAUGUUAUCACGGGAGACACACGGCGGGUGCUAACGUCCGUCGUGAAGAGGGAAACAACCCAGACCGCCAGCUAAGGUCCCAAAGUCAUGGUUAAGUGGGAAACGAUGUGGGAAGGCCCAGACAGCCAGGAUGUUGGCUUAGAAGCAGCCAUCAUUUAAAGAAAGCGUAAUAGCUCACUGGUCGAGUCGGCCUGCGCGGAAGAUGUAACGGGGCUAAACCAUGCACCGAAGCUGCGGCAGCGACGCUGAUGCGUUGUUGGGUAGGGGAGCGUUCUGUAAGCCUGUGAAGGUGUGCUGUGAGGCAUGCUGGAGGUAUCAGAAGUGCGAAUGCUGACAUAAGUAACGAUAAAGCGGGUGAAAAGCCCGCUCGCCGGAAGACCAAGGGUUCCUGUCCAACGUUAAUCGGGGCAGGGUGAGUCGACCCCUAAGGCGAGGCCGAAAGGCGUAGUCGAUGGGAAACAGGUUAAUAUUCCUGUACUUGGUGUUACUGCGAAGGGGGGACGGAGAAGGCUAUGUUGGCCGGGCGACGGUUGUCCCGGUUUAAGCGUGUAGGCUGGUUUUCCAGGCAAAUCCGGAAAAUCAAGGCUGAGGCGUGAUGACGAGGCACUACGGUGCUGAAGCAACAAAUGCCCUGCUUCCAGGAAAAGCCUCUAAGCAUCAGGUAACAUCAAAUCGUACCCCAAACCGACACAGGUGGUCAGGUAGAGAAUACCAAGGCGCUUGAGAGAACUCGGGUGAAGGAACUAGGCAAAAUGGUGCCGUAACUUCGGGAGAAGGCACGCUGAUAUGUAGGUGAAGCGACUUGCUCGUGGAGCUGAAAUCAGUCGAAGAUACCAGCUGGCUGCAACUGUUUAUUAAAAACACAGCACUGUGCAAACACGAAAGUGGACGUAUACGGUGUGACGCCUGCCCGGUGCCGGAAGGUUAAUUGAUGGGGUCAGCGCAAGCGAAGCUCUUGAUCGAAGCCCCGGUAAACGGCGGCCGUAACUAUAACGGUCCUAAGGUAGCGAAAUUCCUUGUCGGGUAAGUUCCGACCUGCACGAAUGGCGUAAUGAUGGCCAGGCUGUCUCCACCCGAGACUCAGUGAAAUUGAACUCGCUGUGAAGAUGCAGUGUACCCGCGGCAAGACGGAAAGACCCCGUGAACCUUUACUAUAGCUUGACACUGAACAUUGAGCCUUGAUGUGUAGGAUAGGUGGGAGGCUUUGAAGUGUGGACGCCAGUCUGCAUGGAGCCGGCCUUGAAAUACCACCCUUUAAUGUUUGAUGUUCUAACGUUGACCCGUGAUCCGGGUUGCGGACAGUGUCUGGUGGGUAGUUUGACUGGGGCGGUCUCCUCCUAAAGAGUAACGGAGGAGCACGAAGGUUGGCUAAUCCUGGUCGGACAUCAGGAGGUUAGUGCAAUGGCAUAAGCCAGCUUGACUGCGAGCGUGACG